CAGAGGGUGCGAGCGUUAAAUCGGGAUUUACUGGGCGUAAAGCGUGCGUAGGCGGCUUCUUAAGUCGGAUGUGAAAUCCCUGAGCUUAACUUAGGAAUUGCAUUUCGAUACUGGGAAGCUAGAGUAUGGGAGAGGAUGGUAGAAAUUCCCAGGUGUAGCGGUGAAAUGCGUAGAGAUCUGGGAGGAAUACCGAUGGCGAAGGCAGCCAUCUGGCCUAAUACUGACGCUGAGGUACGAAAGCAUGGGAGCAAACAGGAUU
rnacentral:rRNA from 1 species